rnacentral:rRNA from 1 species
UACGUAGGGGACAAGCGUUGUCCGGAUUUACUGGGCGUAAAGGGCACGCAGGCGGUUUUUAAGUCAGAUGUGAAAGGUCCCGGCUCAACCGGGGAACGGCAUUUGAAACUGGAGAACUUGAGUAUUGGAGAGGCAAGUGGAAUUCCUAGUGUAGCGGUGAAAUGCGUAGAGAUUAGGAGGAACACCAGUGGCGAAGGCGGCUUGCUGGACAAAUACUGACGCUGAGGUGCGAAAGCGUGGGGAGCAAACA